rnacentral:lncRNA from 1 species
CACGAGUGCUGAAAAAAGUUUUAAUUAAAAAUGGUUUUUUAGCCUUCAAUGUGAAUAUACAAUAUGCUUCACAGAUGGAUUUUUAUAUUUAAAUCUUAUCCAAACCAAAAAGUAAGUGAGAAAAAUAAAGCUUCUGGAAAUGACACAAGAGGCUAAAAUGUAUGUAAACAAUAGAGGAUUCUGGUACAAACAAACAAGAAAGGAAGAACAAUCCUUCUGUCACCCAUUUGCUGCUUGCACACUGCGUAAGUAGAUCAUAUAACCCACCUUUGGUGCAGACACGUUUCUCCCUGGUUUAAAUACAUAACAGAAACACAGACUUGGGAAACGACCUAAGUGUGCAGCCACAGAGCAAUGAUUAAAUCAACUCAGAGUAUAUCAGUGCAUUAUUAAAUAGUCAUUAAAAUACAUUUAUGCACCACUUUAGAAAAAUGAAGAAAUGCGUAUGUGUUACCAUUAAAAUAGAAAGGUACAAAAUUUGUUUGUAAAACCAAAUGACUAUAGAAAUACAUAGAAUAUUGCCAGUAAAAUGUACAAAAUAUUACAAGUUAUCUCAUUUUUACUUUCACAUGAGUACUUUAUAAGUCUUCCAAUUUUUAUGUAUCUUUUUAAAAUCAGAAAAUAACAUUUGAAAAAUCCAAUUAAAA